rnacentral:rRNA from 1 species
AAGACGUGAGAAGUAUGUUCAAAGUAGCGGUAAAAUGUGUUAAUCUUGAGCAGACUAACAAUAGCGAAGGCAUCUCACGAGGACAGUUCUGACAGUAAGGGAUGAAGGCUAGGGGCGCAAAACGGAUUAGAUACCCGUGUAGUCCUAGCAGUAAACACUGCACACUAAACAUUAGUACCUCCUCGAGAGGUAUUGGUGCUGAAGGGAAGCCGAAGAGUGUGCUACCUGGGAAGUAUAGUCGCAAGGCCGAAACUUAAAGGAAUUGGCGGGGAGACACUACAACGAGUGACGCGUGCGGUUCAAUUAGAUUAUACACCGUGAACCUCACCAGGACCGACAGCAGGAUGAAGGUCAGUCUAAAGGGCUUACCUGACACGCUGAGAGGAGUUGCAUGGCCGACGUCAGCCUGUGCCGUGAGGUGACCUGUUAAAUCAGGUAACAGGCAAGACCCACAUGUAUAUUUAUCAUUACAAUAUACAGAUUGCCUUGGUAACAAGGAUGAAAGUGUGGGCUACGUUAGGUGGGUACAGCCCGACCGCCCUGGGCAACACGCGCGCGUCAAUGGUGAAUACAAUGGGAUGCAACACCGAAAGGUGAAGCCAAUCUCUUAAAGUUCAUCUCAGUCCAGAUUGAGGUUUGUAACUCAGCCUCAUGACGCUGGAAUUCGUAGUAAUCGGAUGUUAUCAACGUCCGGUGAAUAAGUCACUGUCUCUUGCACACACUGCCCGUCAAACCAACCAAGUUUAUUUAUGAUGAAACUUUUCGAAGGAGAAUCUUGGGUAAGCGAGGUAGGUUAAGUCGUCACAAGGUAUCUGUAGGGGAACCUGCAGAUG